UGUAGCCAGUCUUUUUGGGGGUUGUUGUCUAUUUUCAAACAAUAAAGCCAGUCUUUUUGGGGGUUGUCUAUUUUCUAACAAUGAGUCUUUUUUGGGGGUUGUCUAUUUUCUAACAAUGUAGCCAAUUUUCAAACAAUGUAGCCAGUCUUUUUGGGGGAGGUUGUCUAUUUUCUAACAAUGAGUCUUUUUGGGGGGUUGUCUAUUUUCUAACAAUGAGGCCAGUCUUUUUGGGGGUUGUCUAUUUUCUAACAAUUAGUCUUUUUGAGGGGGUUGUCUAUUUUCUAACAAUGUAGCCAAUUUUCAAACAAUGUAGCCAGUCUUUUUGGGGGUUGUCUAUUUUCUAACAAUGUAGCCAGUCUUUUGGGGGGUUGUCUAUUUUCUAACAAUGUAGCCAAUUUUCAAACAAUGUAGCCAGUCUUUUUGGGGGUUGUCUAACAAUCAGCCAGUCUUUUUGGGGGUUGUCUAUUUUCUAACAAUGUAGCCAGUCUUUUUGGGGGGUUGUCUAUUUUCUAACAAUGUAGCCAAUUUUCAAACAAUGUAGCCAGUCUUUUUGGGGGGUUGUCUAUUUUCUAACAAUGUAGCCAUCUUUUUGAGGGGGUUGUCUAUUUUCUAACAAUGUAGCCAAUUUUCAAACAAUGUAGCCAGUCUUUUUGGGGGGUUGUCUAUUUUCUAACAAUGUAGCCAGUCUUUUGGGGGGUUGUCUAUUUUCUAACAAUGUAGCCAAUCUUUCAAACAAUGUAGC
ensembl:lncRNA